UAACACAUGCAAGUCGAGCGAAGCACUUACUUUAGAUUUCUUCGGAAUGACGAGGUUUGUGACUGAGCGGCGGACGGGUGAGUAACGCGUGGGCAACCUGCCCUGUACAGGGGGAUAACAGUUAGAAAUGACUGCUAAUACCGCAUAAGCCCACAGCUUCGCAUGAAGCAGUGGGAAAAACUCCGGUGGUACAGGAUGGGCCCGCGUCUGAUUAGCUAGUUGGUAAGGUAACGGCUUACCAAGGCGACGAUCAGUAGCCGACCUGAGAGGGUGACCGGCCACAUUGGGACUGAGACACGGCCCAAACUCCUACGGGAGGCAGCAGUGGGGAAUAUUGCACAAUGGGGGAAACCCUGAUGCAGCGACGCCGCGUGAGCGAUGAAGUAUUUCGGUAUGUAAAGCUCUAUCAGCAGGGAAGAAAGUGACGGUACCUGACUAAGAAGCCCCGGCUAACUACGUGCCAGCAGCCGCGGUAAUACGUAGGGGGCAAGCGUUAUCCGGAUUUACUGGGUGUAAAGGGAGCGUAGACGGAAGUGCAAGUCUGAAGUGAAAGCCCGGGGCUCAACCCCGGGACUGCUUUGGAAACUGUAUUUCUAGAGUGCUGGAGAGGUAAGUGGAAUUCCUAGUGUAGCGGUGAAAUGCGUAGAUAUUAGGAGGAACACCAGUGGCGAAGGCGGCUUACUGGAC
rnacentral:rRNA from 1 species